rnacentral:lncRNA from 1 species
CUCUAAAAUGACUAAUUUGACCCACCUUUAAAUUUAUUGGAACUAAAUUGUUAAUUAAAAAUAUUGAGAGGUUAAGGGGUUAGAUUGUGUAUCUGCUCAAAAUUAAAAUGUGUUGCACCUCAUUUGACUUUAGAUAUAUUCAUGAAUCAUGAGUUUGCUUGAGUUGUUUGCAGUAGUUAGAGUAGAUAUAAAAUUUAGUCACUAGUAGCCUGAACUCUUGACUCCAUGCUCCAUGCUCCAACAUUAUUACAUUAUAACAUUUUUUUAAUGUUUAGUAGAGUUAGGUAAUACAUAUUUACUGUACUCUUCAAUUAUUAAUAGGUCACCUCAAUUUUCAUCUGCAUCAUUAGUACUGCUUUACUUCAAAUUAAAGCACAGAAAAUAUCACAUUAAUUUCUGUGUCAAAUCUACUUUAUGUCUCUCCAUCCAACCUUUAUGUUACUGAAUAUGCAUCUUAUUCAUCCAAGCAUCUUUUUCUCAUUCUUAAUCAUAUUCAUAAGCAUCACCCUUAGUCAAAUCCCAGCAUUUCACUGUGAUGUGCAUGAUGAUCUACCAUGCACUUCAUUUGAUUGUGAAAUUCUCAAAAACAACACUGUUUUAUGUGAUGAAUGCAAAAAAUCUGGUGGGAGCUGUGGUGAUAGCACAGAGACAGGGUUAUUCAUCACUUGCUAUUGCAAGGAUGGUUCUUUUUCAUAUUCAUGUUCAUUAGGUGGGUCCUCUAUGUGUAUUUAACACAUAUAUUACGAAUAUUCAAGUGUGAAGUCUGUAUUGGAUACGAGGGAAUGAACGAAACGCUUUUCUUAUGGUUUUGUCAUUAUUUUGACACUGUUCUCUUACUUCUUAUAUGAAUGUUGCAGGUGAUAAAAAGAGCAAAGUAGGUGUUGCAAUAGGUGCUGCUGCAGGAGCUGUUGGCCUUGUUGCCAUUCUUGGAAUUGUG